ACUGAAGUAAAACGAGGUAGUCCUCUGCUCUAUAUGUUUCUGGGGACUCAUAUCAGCUAAUGUAUGCUGCCUGGUUGGUGUCUCUGUGUCUGAGAGAACUCGGGGUCCAGGUUAGUUGAGACUAAUGACCUUCCUAUGGGGUCGUCUUCCUCCUGAGCUUCUUCCAGACUUUCUCUAAUUCAACCACAGAGGUCCCCAGCUUCCGUUCAUUGAUUGGGUGUACAUAUAUGGGUCUGACUCAUUCAACUGCUUGUUGGGAGUCUUGGAGGGCAAACAUGCUAGGCUUCUGUCUGUAUGCACAACACAACAUCAGUAGUAAUAUUAGGCCUUGGAGUCUUCCCUUGAGCUGGAUACCAAUUUGGGCCAGUCACCGAACCUCAUUUCCCUCAGUCUCUUCUCCCAUUUUUGUUCCUGCAAUUCUCUCAGGCAGGAACAAUUCUGGGUCAAAGUUUUUGAUCGUGGAAUGGCAACCCCAUCAAAAAAAUAAUACUGUAUGUAAUAAACAAUUGUGUUAUCUUUAAAAAAAGAAAUGAAAGACCUAUAAUAAUUGCUAAUAUUUGGGGAGGAAAGUAAUGUGGCUUUAAAAGAAGACUUUAUUCAGGAAAGUUCAAUAUGAGCCUUGAGUUAAUCAGUUUUCUUGCCCUUUUCUUCUUGUCUUUACUCUUCUCAAAACCCAAAACCUAAGCAAUAUUUUUUUUGUGGUUGUUGUUCUUAAGAAACCAUGGGAACUUUUCAAAUUCUGCUCCUGUGUUUCCACAAGCCUGUUGUCUGUUCUCUGUUCGCAGUUAUGCUUCUUUCCCUACGUGAUCAUAUUGACUUACAGAAAUGUCUUGGCUUAUAAACUUCAUCCAUAGGAGUGCAUUCAACUGCCACAGACAUGAUAACACUGGAGGAGAGGAAGGUGUUAAUAGUCCACCUUUAGCAAAAGGGUCUUUCAAUAGAAUAUAAAGAUGUGCUGAAAUUAUAUUAAUUAAUCCCAAAACCUAAUUAAUCCCGAGUCUUUUCACAUAUAAUAUUUAAAAAUAAAUAUCUUUCCAAAAAUAUUGUUUAUCAUUUACCUAUCAAAUUUAAUUUUAAUACGCAGUUACCAUAUCAAAGUAAACAUAUACCAACAUACAGACAUUUGACUUCCCUUUCAUUCCAAAUUUUAAUUGUUCUAUCUUUGUCUUAAUUUCUUCAUAAUUUUCUUAAGCUUAAAAUUGUAGAACAAGUCAUGUAUGCAAGCAGAUGAUUUACAUGUACCAUGUAAAUGUGAUUUUUGGCAGUUAUAUUUCUAUUAUUUAUGAUACUAAGGGACAGGGAUGGCACAUAUGAGAGAAUCAUAGCAUCUAAGGCUGGAAGUGCUUAAAGGUCAGGUCGUUCAAUCACUCACACGACGGCUAAUUUACUUCCCUAGCUCCUACACCAGGUAGACUUCCAGCAUGUGCUUGAAUACUUUUAGUGCUGUUGAAAGGCUACUUCAUUUCAUCCUUGAGUAAUUCCAUUAAAUUUUGGCUCAAUCUAAAGGACAAAUCUUUCUAUCCAUCUGUAACUUUUAUACUUAUUCUUUGAUGAUGGGGGAAGAACCAUGUUAGUAUAUCUUUGUAUUUCUUUGUGGAUUCCAAUGCUCAGCUGCAAUAUUGAAGAGUUUCAUUAAGUUCUUUAUUUAAUAUAAUUUAAAUGCAGACAUGAAAAUUGUGACACUCAGGCCAUUUCUCUCCAGAUCCAAUAUCACUGGUUCCUUAAAACAUUCAUUAGUCAUGAGUUUUAAUUUCGUUAUCAUUCUGGUGCCUUUUCAAUAAAUGAAUUUUAUCAUCUCUUUUAAAUUAUCAUUCUCCAGAAUAAAAUAGAACACUGAAAGUCUGUUUUCAUAAGAACACAGCACACUGACAUUUCAUUAGCCUAAAGAUGAUGUGUUUACUAAUCUGGCUUACUAUUAAAGUACCCCCAUCAGUAGCCACCUUACUCUGAAGGACAUUAAAGAUAAACAAAUAUUCUCCUACAGGUAAUACUAUUAUCCUCUGAGCUACAGAUUAUUUUUUGUUGAAAUGAGACCAGCAACUUUGGUAGGCAGUUGGUACCAGUCCAGUACAACCUUAGUAGCCACUCUUCUCUCUAUUAGUUGAGGAUCUUGCCAAUGACCUUUAAUUUCUACUAUAUUUAUUUUCCAUUCUUAAUGGGAGAGAAAAAUGUCAAUUACAUUGGAAAUUUUACUUGGGGAGCAAUAGAAAUCAUGGAGCUACUAUAAGAAAAGGUAUUACAAAGGCACGAUGUUCAAAUCCUUUUAGUUUUGUUGAGUUGAAUAUCUAUUCAACUGUGAGUUUCAAGUAUUGAGAAUAGAGAAAAAAAUACAAUCCAAGAAAAAGAAAUGUCUAGGGGGAGAGAGAGAGAGAGAGAGAGAGAGAGAGAGAGAGAGAGAGAGAGAGAGAGUCUGGGAAGCUUACAAAUCAUAGGAAGCUUCAAAGAAAAUGACACAAAAAGUAUACAAGUGUGUUUUCCCAUAUUGGAAAGAAAGAACAGACACCAAAGAGUGAAAUACCAACAGGGUUGACAGGGUCCAGGAGAGAGUGCUAACCUGUAAAGCAGGAUGUAUUUUUAUAAUUUAAUCAAAAUAUAAUACAUUAUGUACUGGCUAGUCUUAUGCCAAUCUGACAAACAAGCUAGAAUUGUAUGAAAGGAAGGAACUUUGAGAAAAUGCCUCCACAAGAUCUGGCUAUGAGGUAUUUCCUGAAUUAGUAAUUAGUAGAGGAGGGUUCCCGAGAUCUCUAAGACACUGGACCACCAACCAGCCAUCAUACACCAGCUGAUAUGAGGCCCUCAACACAUAUACAGCAGAGGACUGCUGGGUCCAGGUUCAGUCAGAGAAAAUGAACUUAACUGGUGACUUCAGGGAGUGGGGCUGUCUGGUGGUGUAGGGGUUUGAGGGAAUGGGGACAUCUUCAUGGAGACAGGCUGGAGAGAGGAGGAAAGGGAGGUAGAACAGUCAGAGGAUUGGCUGGGAGGGAGAUAAAAUCUGGAGUGUAAAAAAGAAUAGAUUAAAUAAAAUUUAGAAAAAAAAACCUGAAAAAUGUUAGAGCUUGAUUCAGGCAUUCGAAUUCCACGUUAUAUAUUCCAGCUUCAAGAGUUUGGCUCAGUUACAGAAUUAAAAUAGGUGACAGGCAUGUAAGAAAUAUUCCUCCAAGGUUUAGAUUGUUUGAGUAGCCAGCACCCUCUUUAUGUGGCUGCUAGAGCCAUUUUAAUAGUUUUUAUGAUGUAUUUCACUCCUCCAAGGAGUAGCAAAGAAGAUUUGACUCCUUGCCCCGAUGCUGAAGAAUGUGUUACUUGUAUUUAGCAUCCCCAGGCACCAAACAUACACAUGAUACACAGACAAACAUGCAAGUGAAACAUUCGUAGGCAAACAACAAACAAACAAACAAAUAAAUAGUAGGCCCCCACAGGAAAAAAAAUCAAACAACACAAACUGGACUAAAGAGAGAGAAAUGGAGAAGGACAGAAACAGACAGAGACAGAGAGACAAAACAUUUAAUCAGACCUGGGGGAUCGGGAAGGAGUUAGAAAAUGAUUAAAACCUAUUGUGCAGAAUUCUCAAAAAAUGCAUUGUUAAAAAAAAUCACAGCAUGGUUAUAGUUGCUUGAAUUAGGGUCACAUAGAGAGAAAGGCCUUUAGUCUGGCCAGCGUAGCCUAGAGAAACCCAAUGACAAGCAAGAGUUUAUGUAUCAAAAACAAUGAUCACUGCUAUUGAGGCAUAAGAGUUUUGAAGUGGACUUCUGGCCUCCACACCCAUGUGACCAUCCAGGACCACAUUAAUUAAUUCACUAACUAAUCAGUGAAUAAAAUUAAAAGUGCAUGAGAGAUUAAAUAGAAUUAUAAUAAAAGAGUAAUAUGAAGUACAGUAUCUUAUCAUUUCCUUCAAUCUUUGAAGCUUCUAGACUGGGUCUUCUUUUUGACAAAGCUCACUCUUCUCAUAGAGAAGAAAAACAACAAAUCAAGUAGAGGCUGUCUCUCUAACCCACCCAUCCAUGUUCUGUCUCUUUCAGAGUUUUACAAGUGUGUUCACUGGAAAAAAAUUUCUACAUUUUUCUGCUUGAGUCUCUGCCCCUUUGUAAUCUUUGGUGUUCAUGACUUCUUUUGAAGUCAGAACUAAUAGUACUAAGAAAAGAAAACUGUAAUUCCAGAAGGUUCACUCUCGUUCCAUCUUUAAAAGGUUGCAUUUUAGGAUUGUUGGUUUAACUCUCAAAAAGGCCUUUCUUGACCCAAUUAUCCAUCCAAAGAUUCAUGAAUACACUGAAACUUUCUUUAAAUUUUGAAAGGUGAUAUGAUUGAAUCUGAUGUACAUAAUUGACUAUUUCCUAAGAGAACAUAAUGUGUUGAAUUGUGAUAUUUCUCUUAAGAUUUCUGUACUUCUGUUUAAUUAAUGGGCUUAGAUUUAGCAAAGAGGCUUCUUUCUCCCUCAUUUAUUCCAUGAGAGCUAGCAUGUGCAACAGUCAGGUAUGUGGCUUACAGCAUAAUAUGCCUUUACUUAUGGGAGACUCCCAAUAUAUCCCAGCAUAAUUGUACUCUACCGUUUAGUAUAUCAUGCAUGUGCUCCAGGUUUUAAAAUUCUGGGUCAGUGAUGAAGUAUCAGUUUCCUUCUAUUAAUUCAAAAAUCCAUAGUUAGUAUAUGCUUAUACUAUAUAUAUAUACAUACAUAUAUAUAUAGAGAGAGAGAGAGAGAGAGUAUGUGUGUGUGUGUGUGUGUGUGUGUGUGUGUGUGUGUGCGUGUAUUCAUUGAAUUUUCCCAUGGUAUUUCGUUUUUCCUUUGCCAUCUCUGCCUCAUUUGAACACCUUCCUCUGAACUGUAUGCCUAGUAUGGUGGCCCCUGUAAGUAUAUUUUUAGUAGCUAGUAAUUGAUACAACAUCAAUGUGCUCCACACCUUACUGCAUUAUCAAUUCCAUUCCCUGCCUUUUUUAUUUUGAUAAAGCCAAAAGAAGAUGAUCCACAAAUAUUGUAUCAAGGACUUUUAUGUUUCUGAAUCUCAUUGAGAGUAAAUUGCUGACACAAAAGUAUUAAUUCAAGCUCAGUGAACGUGAAACAGAAGAAAACUGAUGAGAAGUAUGUACGUUCAGAUAUAUCAUAAUCAAACCACAGAAAAUGAAGAUGAGAAAAAUAACUUGAAAGCAGCCAGGGGGAAAAAAUGACAUGUUACAAAGAGAGAAACAAUCACAGAAAUAAUGAUGAGCUUCUCAUCAGAAAUCAUGAAAAUCAGGAAACAGAGGAAAGAACAACCUGUAGGACUAAGCAGAGCAAAAGAAAACGAAAGCUAUCGCACAAUAUAUUUCUAUGAAUCAAGACUUCUCUUUCUAGUGAAAAUAUCCCCAGGAUUAGAGGUUAAAUAACAACACUUUCCUCUAAAGGAAAAAUCAAGUGAACUUAUCAUGGCAAAUAAAUUAGUAAAUAAACAGAAUUAUUUCUUUUUGCAAAGAAACUGUAAAUCACAUACACAUCUUUUCAAAAAUGUUUAUUAUUGUUAUUAGGUUUUAAGAUCAUAUUUCAUUAUGUUGUCCAUAUGUGUUGUGAAUUUUCUGGGUCACAGUCCUCCUGCCUUAGUCUGCUGUAGACCUGGGAUUGAAGUCCAGUACCAUUGUAUGAGUUUUAUGUAAUUCAUACUAUUUUUAAUAAUAUACAUAAAAUUAUCUGUACCCAAAUGUAUGAGGGACAGAACAAGAAGAAAAGAAAGUAAAUUGAAUGUAUUUGACUAUUGGCUUCUAUAAUUUAUUGAAAUGGUAAAAUAGUAACAACUUAGAACAUUAGAUUCAUGUGGUAUAUCCCUUUGAGCAGGAACUAAAACUUGAUUUUUAAAACACACAAUCAAAUAGAUAAUGGGUAGAUUUUUAAAGUAUAUCAAAUAUACUCGGCUUGUCCAAGUGAGGCCAAAAAGACAGAAGGGGAAAAAGCCAAGAAAGAAAGAAAGAGAGAAAGAAAGAAAGAAAGAAAGAAGAGACGGAGGGACGAAAGAAAGAAGGAAGGAAGGAAGGGAGGAAGGAAGGAAGGAAGGAAAGAAGGAAGGAAGGAAAAUGUCAGAAAGGGGAAACAGAAAAGUUAGGAGGCUGAGGUGACUAAAGUAUAAAUGCAUCAGGAAAAUCUGAUGUAAAUGAUCUUAACUGUACCAAUAAAAGAAAGCAUUAUCAGAAUAAAAGCAAUACUAAACUUUAUAUUACCUAUAAGCCCAUUUUUAUUAUAAGGACAUAGUAAAAGUGUUUUCUCACAGGUACCAAGCUAAUACCAACAAGACUAAGUUUCAUGUGUUAUUUAAGUAGAGUAAAAUAUAUGGGUUCAGAGUGAGCAAGCUUUGCAACGUUGGAGGGAAGCCUGACACAGGAUAACAGGACAUUCCAGAAAACAGAUCAAACCCAACACUGGGAAACCCAGCUAAGAAAAUGUGUGAUAGUGUGUACUGACAUUUUAAGAAAAUACAGCUGAAAGUAGAAUAGUGCUCUUUUAUUAAAGAUACACUUUUUUUUAACCCAAGGACAUAGUGUUUGAUUUAAUGCAAGUUAGUUUUGGUAACUUGAAGAUUAUUAGCAUCCUGCUAUUCAGAAACUACCCCUCAGUCAAUAUGGCUUCAAAGGAGAGAAUUUUAUUAGGCAUCUGGACAACAGUUGUUUCUUUUUCUGAUCGGAGUGAUUUUGUGAGAAUCCCUCUUUAGCAGGCUCUUGCUUCUGAGACUGCCAGCACCAUUAUCUACCAAACCCCUUUUUGAUUAAUAAGAAAAGGAGCUGAGAAUGCAUUUUACCAUCUUCAGCUUCCUGGGGUCUGUCAAACACUCUUGUUUUACAAGAUGUAGUUUUCCUGUAGGGCUCUAAGUGUGUCUGCAUAAUUUUUCAUCAAGGCAAUAACGUGGGAUCCUAAAUCAUAAACAUUCUUUGCAAGAAGUCCCUUAAGUGCGGUGUAAUUUGGAACAGGCAAUCCAUUUCAAAUUUGGAAAAUUAAAGGGGAAAUAGCCAAGCACAAGUUACAAGAGCGGGGCCGGACUCCCACACCUGCAAUCUCAACCAAAUGACAUAAAAUGCCAAGCCAUUAUUCUUCCAAUUUAGCUUCCUCAGCUUUCAUGUUCAAAACCAAAUUCAUUCUAAAAGUAAUCAAAUCAGAUAAGGACUGCGACUGUGGAGGGGGAAAUGCUAACAACGGCGUCACAAGUGUGGUUGGAGGUUUGGGUGUUUUAACAUUUCAGUUUAUUUUAUGGAGCAUAUUUUAAAAUGAUUUUUGCGGGUUAGUUUAAUUGGAGUAUCAGAAAUCCUUUCAUCUGUUUUGACAAUUGAAAUGACGAUGUGCUGCCUGCACUGUGUUUAUGCCGUUAGAAAGGGGAACCAUCCAUAUUGAUAGUCCAGCUCCUGAAAAUUUAAAAGGACGAGAACAGCUAAGGGCCGAUUAGCCAUGGAGAACAUUAGCUUCGAUACUUCUUAGGCAGAGCCAGACAUUACGUCAAGCAUGACAAACCACUCUAGCAUAAAAGUAUUAGCGGCCUCCAGGUCUCAGGCUUACCCUUAAGUUAUUUCAUUAAAAUACAAAAUCAUGUUGACCUAAUUUUUUGACAGGUUUCAAAGAGAGGAAAGAUUUCCUUGCAUGCCCUGCCUCCCCUUCCUUCCUCUGUCCUGCCAGAACUCUGGGGAGUUUGCCAGUUUCAAGUCAUUCAGAAAGCCAAUCCCUUCCCUUUUAAUCAAGGUAGAAGCUCCAGCUUUGAAUGCUUUCUCCUCUCAUCUCCGAACAUGUACACAGAGGAGGCUCUUCAUUGGCAUGAGGACUUCCGAUCUCGAUUUAAAAGAUGAUCCAGAAUAAAGGUAAAUUGUAACAGGCCCUCUCUGCCUAACGCCCUGGGGAUACAGUAAGAUGACAAUAUAUCAAACAACACAGACAUGGCCAAUUGUUGGAAGUGAAGAGCCACCCUUGGAUAAUACCUGUCUGUGAGAUUGAAGUGAGUGUCUCGGAUCCCUGUGAUGCUCCAAGGAGGCAUUGUCGGUUUCUUGCAAUAUCAUGCCCAAGUGAUGGAUAUUGGUUUUUCCCCAUUGACUUGAGAAGUGAAAGACCAUAUUUCUUCCAAGUUUCUAAAAGCCAGUCCAUAUGUGGGAAAAACAUCGUUUUCUAACUGCACUUUGCAAACCGACAAAAUGAAGUCUGAUUCACCAAUCUUCCUACAUCAUCACCUUCCAAUGUAGAUUUAGUCAAGAAGAAGAAGUUUAUUUAUAAAAUAAAUCAGAACAAUGAAAA